GCUGGGUGCAGUGGCUUACGCCUGUAAUCCCAGCACUUUGGGAGGCUGAGGUGGGAGGAUCACCUGAGGUCAGGAGUUCAAGACCAGCCUGGCCAACAUGGUGAAACCCCGUCUCUA
rnacentral:SRP_RNA from 1 species